UACGUAGGGUGCAAGCGUUGUCCGGAAUUAUUGGGCGUAAAGAGCUCGUAGGCGGUCUGUCGCGUCGGCUGUGAAAACCCGGGGCUCAACUCCGGGCUUGCAUUCGAUACGGGCAGGCUAGAGUUCGGUAGGGGAGUCUGGAAUUCCUGGUGUAGCGGUGAAAUGCGCAGAUAUCAGGAGGAACACCGGUGGCGAAGGCGGGACUCUGGGCCGAUACUGACGCUGAGGAGCGAAAGUGUGGGGAGCGAACAGG
rnacentral:rRNA from 1 species